GACAGAGGAUGCAAACGUUGCUCGGAUUUACUGGGCGUAAAGCGCGCGCAGGCGGUCCCGUAAGUCGAGUGUGAAAUCCCGGGGCUCAACCUCGGACGUGCACUCGAUACUGCGAGACUGGAGUACUGGAGAGGAGAGCGGAAUUCCCGGUGUAGAGGUGAAAUUCGUAGAUAUCGGGAGGAACACCAGUGGCGAAGGCGGCUCUCUGGACAGAUACUGACGCUGAGGCGCGAAAGCGUGGGAAGCAAACAGG
rnacentral:rRNA from 1 species